rnacentral:sRNA from 1 species
UACCAGGUUUUUUCUAAAGCCCCUGUGGUC